rnacentral:rRNA from 1 species
CCUACGGGGGGCAGCAGUAGGGAAUAUUGCUCAAUGGGGGAAACCCUGAAGCAGCAACGCCGCGUGGAGGAUGAAGGUUUUAGGAUUGAAAACUCCUUUUGUGAGAGAAGAUAAUGACGGUAUCUCUCGAAUAAGCACCGGCUAACUCCGUGCCAGCAGCCGCGGUAAUACGGAGGGUGCAAGCGUUACUCGGAAUCACUGGGCGUAAAGCGUGCGCAGGAGGGCUUGUAAGUCAGAUGUGAAAUCAUGUAGCUUAACUACAGACCUGCAUUUGAAACUAUGAGUCUAGAGUGUGGGAGAGGUAGGUGGAAUUCUUGGUGUAGGGGUAAAAUCCGUAGAUAUCAAGAGGAAUACUCAUUGCGAAGGCGACCUACUGGAACAUUACUGACGCUCAUGCACGAAAGCGUGGGGAGCAAACAGGAUUAGAUACCCUUGUAGUC